rnacentral:rRNA from 1 species
GUGGGGAAUCUUCCGCAAUGGACGAAAGUCUGACGGAGCAACGCCGCGUGAGUGAAGAAGGUUUUCGGAUCGUAAAGCUCUUUCGUUAGGGACGAACGUGCUCUUUGUGAAUAAUGAGGAGUAAUGACGGUACCUAAAUAAGAAGCCACGGCUAACUACGUGCCAGCAGCCGCGGUAAUACGUGGGUGGCAAGCGUUGUCCGGAAUUAUUGGGCGUAAAGCGCGCGCAGGCGGGAUAUCAAGGCUGUCUUAAAAGUGCGAGGCUCAACCUCGUGAGGGGACAGAAACUGGUAUUCUUGAGUGUCGGAGAGGAAAGUGGAAUUCCAAGUGUAGCGGUGAAAUGCGUAGAGAUUUGGAAGAACACCAGUGGCGAAGGCGACUUUCUGGACGAUGUCUGACGCUGAGGCGCGAAAGCUAGGGGAGCGAACGGGAUUAGAAACCCGAGUAGUCC